UUAGUCGAGAUGAGUAUUCUAAGGCGCUCGGGUGAGCCGCGGAGAAGGAACUAGGCAAAUUAAUGCUGUAACUUCGGGAUAAGGCAUGCCACUAGCAAUAGUGGCCUCAGUAAAUUGGUUCAACCAACUGUUUAGCAAAAACACAGGGCCCUGCAAAAUCGAAAGAUGACGUAUAGAGCCUGAUACCUGCCCGGUGCUGGAAGGUUAAGGAAGCUUGUUCGGAGCAAUCCAAAGCUUGUGGCCGAAGCCCCAGUAAACGGCGGCCGUAACUAUAACGGUCCUAAGGUAGCGAAAUUCCUUGUCGGGUAAGUUCCGACCUGCACGAAUGGUCUAAUGAGUUGAACACUGUCUCCUCCGCGAGCCCGGUGAAAUUGUAGUAUCGGUGAAGAUGCCGGUUACCCGCCACGGGACGGAAAGACCCCGUGAACCUUCACUACAACUUUGCAUUGAUUUUGAGUAACAGAUGUGUAGCAUAGCUGGGAGACUAUGAAGCAGGCACGCCAGUGUUUGUGGAGUCACCGUUGAAAUACCAGCCUUCUGUUACUUAGAGUCUAACCUGGAAACGGGAACAUUGCAUGGUGGGUAGUUUGACUGGGGUGGUCGCCUCCUAAAGAGUAACGGAGGCUCGCAAAGGUUCCCUCAGCAUGGUUGGUAAUCAUGCGAAGAGCGCAUUAGUAUAAGGGAGCUUGACUGUGAGACUGACUAGUCGAGCAGGUGCGAAAGCAGGCUAAAGUGAUCCGGUGGUUCCGCAUGGAAGGGCCAUCGCUCAAAGGAUAAAAGGUACUCCGGAUAACAGGCUGAUCUCCCCCAAGAGCUCAUAUCGACGGGGAGGUUUUGGCACCUCGAUGUCGGUUCGUCACAUCCUGGGGCUGGAGAAGGUCCCAAGGGUUGGGCUGUUCGCCCAUUAAAGUGGCACGUGAACUGGGUUCAGAACGUCGCAAGACAGUUCGGUCCCUAUCUGUGGUGGGCGCUAGUAAAUUGAAGGGGAUGUGAUCUUAGUACGAGAGGACCGGAUCGCGUGUACCGCUGGUGUAUCUGUUGUGCCGCCAGGUGCAGUGCAGAGUAGCUACGUACAGUACAGGAUAAGCGCUGAAAGCAUCUAAGCGCGAAGCCAACCUCAAGAUGAGUUUACUUACAUAAGAAGGGUCGCAGCAGACUACUGCGUUGAUAGGCUAUAGAUGUAAUACUGGUAACAGUAGAGUCGAGUAGUACUAAUUACCCGUAAGCUUUAAUCU
rnacentral:rRNA from 1 species